ensembl:lncRNA
GUGACCUGUUUUUUCCUCCCAGAACUUUAUAUGCUUUUCUCUUGGAGAAAUGCAUUUUAAAUGAUCAGCCAGGAGAAAGGCAUCAACUACUGUCCAUGGAAUUACAAUGACUGGAGGACUUUUCAUUAUCUGAAUCGAACAUGGUUUUCAUUCGAGUGGGAGGAUGAAUGAGUUUAAAUGUACAGUGUGAGACUGCAUCAUUUCAAUGCGAUCAUUUCAAACACACAUGUAAACAUUUCUGAAAAGAUAAAGAAAACAUACGAAGAAGUGAAAUCUCUGGAUGGUGUAAUUAGGGCCAAAAAAGUUUCCUUGCUAUGUUUGUGUAUGUGUACGUUUCUAAGUCUUUCAAGAUUCCCACAGGACACAUUGUGCUUAUGAAUCAGGAUGACGGACAUACUGUACAGGAUACAGUAAAUAGUACCUAACUGUAGGAGAUUUUGCCACCUUCUCUCUUGGAAGGUGAAUAUUUCCUGGAUAACUAACCUCAAAAUCAUUGAGUGUAAAAGCCAUCAUUAUUUAAUUUAUGAACAUUAAACUGAAGAUUAACUUUGUUUUAAUGGCUAUAUUGGUAACAGCCCUUGUCUUAAAAUGUCAUGCUCACAGAAAUUGAGUGAUUUCACAGUGCAUCCAUUUUCUACUCUUUUACC